UCUGUGAAUGCAAAACAAAAAACAAAACAAAAAACAAAAAAAAAACCCAGACAUUUAGAAGGGGUGAGCCAGUGACAUGGAAGGAGGGGGCCCCUGGAACCACAAAUGAUAGCAGCCAAAGCGCCACCAUAUUCCUGAUGCCCACAGGGUGCCUACAAGGAGUGACGUCAGAGACUGAAGGUUCACUGUUACACUCUGGUCCUGUUGACCCAGGAGGAGGGGUGAGGUCUCCAGCCUGUGGUGCCUUUCUCAUCUAUUGUCUGUGACGAUUUUGUAAUAGCAAAAGCUACCACUGAGCUAGCACUUAACUGCAGGGCUGGGAUGAUUCAGACCGUAGCACAUGUCAUUUGCACAGUAAUCCUACAAGCAGGCUUUAUCGUUCUUGUUGUGCAAUUAGAAGAGAGAGCUGGGGAGAGCGCCUAGCGAAUAGAUCACAUGCAUGAGGCCCGCGAACUUCGGAUCAUCAGCACCCAUGUAAAAGGGGGGAGGGGGAUGGAUGUCUAGGACAAGCUAGAUAUCUAGGAUGGCUAGCUAGACCAUUCUGAAUCCAUGAGCUCUGGGUUCAGCAAGGGUUCCUGUCUCAGCAAGUAAAGUGGAGAGUGAGUGAGGAAGACAUCUGAUGCCAGUCUUGUGGCUACACACACAUGGCCAAGUGUGUACCCAUGUACCACGUAUACCCACACAUGCGUGCACGCCACAUAACACAUGCAAAAAGAAAAAUUCUAAGAAGUAGGAGAUAAACUUUGAGUACUGCAGUGACGCACAUGGCCAAGGUUAAGCAAGAAGGGCCAAGGGAGAUUGACUUCACGCUAACACGGGACUGUCUUACCCGCCUCUGGGAACCGAGAGACUACAGUGAAAUACUAACAAGCAAGCACUCUGCUAGAGAACAUCUGGGAAAUGGUUUCAAACUCACUAUAUACAUGAGACUGGCUUCAAACUCUGUCUGCUUCAUCUCUCCAGCCCUCAGCUUGUCUCCCUUCAGGAAGUGCGCGUGUUCUCUGGGGCGACCAACCAACAAAACACCUCCCAUUCACAGCUAGCACAGAGCACCUUACCUAACACUCGGGGCUCAGAACAAUCUUUCCAAUGUUGGGGCCUCUCCUUCUCUUGGCCUACAUAAGAGAUUGUGAUCAGCCAUAGGACACCGUAUGAAGGAUAAAGACUCCAACCUGGGCCUCCAGCAAUCUGCACAAACUACGCAGCCAAGGUCCAAAUUUCUAAGAUGAAUGCUUGACUCCAAGCAGCUGUUUGAUCUUGGGUGCGCUAUUUAACCCCCAUGUGCCUGAGACUCAGUAUCUCUGUCUCUAGAAUGGGUCCAUCCCUGACCACAAGGCCAGAUGCCUUAGGAGUUAACAAAUGUUCGCUGCCUAGCCCUGAGUCACACACAGCAUGCCCCAUACACGUGAGCUUCCCUCCUGGCCUUACCAUCUGGGGUAAGAGCUGUGCCUGUGAGGGGAGUGGGAAGAGGCCGCCCAGAGGAGCAGCUGGCAGUUGGUGGGCGGUGGGAGGUGUGAUGUGAAUGUUGGCGGUUUUAUGUCAGUUUGUCUACACAAUCCCUAAAUUUUCCCGCAGCUAAGAGCCCGGAGCAGGAAUGCGGGAGCCUGCCAAGGGGGACUCAGUGUGGGCAAGGGCAAGGGCCUGAUGCAGCGACUUGGCAGGGCUGUGGGAGCCUCAGCAGCUGAGUACCAUGCAGCAGCCCCGUGUUAACUGUGCUCUCAAGACUGCCUCAUCCCGUUUCUUAGCAACCACCCUAUUUGGAGGAAUGUGGAGGGCUUCAGGGACACCGGCUCAGAACCAUGUGCAAGACAGGAAGCACCCCCAAAUAACGCCUCCGACCCCUUCGCACUCCCACGGCCUGCCACCUUAUGCUGGUUGCCAUCUCCUGGGACAAGGUGGACAGCUUAGAAGCCCUCCACCGGGAAGGAGUUCAGCUACCAAGCAGGUCUCCAGGUAGCUUCCAGGGCCAAGUUCGUGCAGGGAAGUCCUGGUUACACCCUUGGCCUCUGGACAAAAGCCCUGGUGCCAUCUGUUGUCCUCUAACACUCUGAGCGGCUGACGUGGUACAAAGAGACACCCAGCAGAGGGCUCGGGCUCUGCAUACACAGGCUUAGGGCCAGGCAGAAGCACUGUGACAACAGCUCAGCUGGGCGUUCGAAGAAGUUCCAGGGUAGGAGCACCUGCUGGACGCAUCCGGUCUCCACUCUGAAGAUAGAUCAUUUUAUCUUCUCAAAAAAUUAUUGGGGGACAUUAAAGGAUCCUACCGGAGCCAAGGCUUUUCAGCCCAGACAGCUGACUUCAGAUACACGUUAUUAAUACUAACAUUUUCUCAGCGUGAUUGCAUACCCCAUUUAAAACAAAUUACCCAAUUAAGCUAAGAAGGUGAUGGGUUCGACUUCCUGGGAUUUGGAGCCGGUGACUCUGUCUCGACUGCUCUCCCCUAAUUUCCCUCCAAUUAGGUAAAGAUCCCGAGGUACCCCUGCGAGGAUCAGCUGAGAGGUUGCUGUGGAGACGGAAGGGAAGGACGUUCAUCCCACUGCCAGUUUCAUCUGCGGCUGAGAAGGGAGCUGGCAAAGUUUCCAGCCUCCUCCUGGGAAGAACGCUCGUUGCCAACAGCAGAGACAAUAGGUCUGUUAGAUGGAAAAGGGUAAGGAUUAAGUAAGCUUCCGGGUCUCCGUCUGUAGCAGCCCAGGUCGAUGUCGUCAGCUUCCCAUGAGCAGCUGCACCUGCAAGAUUGCCAGGCAGUAACACUUUCCUUCCCUGUCCCCGGGGUUGCUGGAGGGGGAGGGGCGCUGCAGGCCCUGGUUCUGAUGUCAUGGCGCGGCCAGUCAGCUCAGUGUGGACCACGCUUUCUCAGUAACUGGCCAAAAGGAUCAGAGUGGUGGCGUCGGAGCAUGAAGCCACCAAUGCCAAAAAGCAUGGGGGGCGGGGGGGAUGUGCGGUUUUUAUCAUCCAAACAUUCAAAUCUAACCAUGGCUCUUUCUUGCUUUCCACACUUUGCUGGCUCUCUCGAGAAAGUGCCAAUUUCGAGACGAGAUGCUGCCCCACGCUUCUCUCCCAAACUCAACCUCUUUCCCUAAAUAAAUAUUCUGCACUUGGAAAGGUCAAACGCUCACACCUCCCAUCUGCCCACACUGCUGUUCGCCACUUGGCGUUCCUUCCUAAGGGCUCCCAGCCUGGCACCAGCUGAACUCAGGUUCAGCCCAGGAGCUCCUGAUCAACAAGUAUCUUGACCCCCAGAAAUCUUCUCUCUGUCUCUACCCCCCUUCCUCCCUCCUCUGGAAGGCCGGGCACCCCAUCACUGCUAGCACGUUCUAUAAUUUGAAGCAUGGGAAUGAUUUACAUGUCUGUCCCCAGGCCCAGAGUUGCCAAACCAUGCAAGGAGUGGGAGAGACAUUUUCAAAGAAAUGGCUGAGGGACUUGAGGGCAUGGGGACAGAGAUGACAGAAAAGGAUCUUGUCCGUGCCAAGCUAUGAACACCCAAGAGCUGUUAAGUCGUGAAGGGGUGGAGCUGGAGAGGUGGCUCGGUGCUUAAGAGUACUGACUGAGUUUUUCUAAAGGAAUGGGAUUAAUUCCCAGCACCUACAUGGCACUCCAAAACCAUCUGUAACUCCAGUCCCAGGGACUAAUGCCCUCUUCUGGGUCCAGGUAUACAGACAUACACGCACGUCAAACAUCCAUGGGGGUAGGGGGACAGCUACGUUGACUGUUCACCAGUCUCUUCCUCCUUCCUUGAUUUCAAAACCAAGCAUACCCAGUAUCGUGAAGGAAUAAAAAGUCAGCUUACUAACAAAAUCUCCGAAAGACAUCCUUCGGAUUACAUCAUCAAGUCUACCUUUCUGGUGUGAUGGUUUAAAACUAAUUGGGGGUGGGGGGAGCCUACUAAACCCUUCAACUCAUCAGAGCUGAGCUGACGGUCGUUCAGAGUCAUCCACACCAGAGAAAGCAAGCUAUCCCUGGAAGGUGAGUACCACCCAGAGCCCUGGUCCCUCUCCUACCUCUGCCUUCCACUGCCCAAGACUCAGUGGUCUCUCAAUGCCUGAGAGUUUCUGGCCAGGGGCCUCUCAGCCCUCACCCAUCUACCCUAUCUCCCAGAAGUAAAGCACACUGCUCUCUGGACUGGGUGCCCCCCCCGCCCCCCGCCUGGAAUGCUACUGAGGUCUGUCCAGUAGCCUCUUCAAAAGCACUGGGUGGGCUUUUGUUGGAGCUCAUCGUUGCAAUCCCUGACGCCCCCACCCCACCCCAGAUUUUCCAUUGAUAAUGCAUGUGACCAUGAGGGAAUCCAGAGAUGUGCAGGCAGACGCUGUGGCCACUCCAGAAUUGGAGCCCUCAGGCACAGUUUUCCUCUCAGCCUCAGUCACCUCUUAAAGCCCUUGGUGUCAGAGACACAGUGUGACACACGUGCUAUUGAGUCUAAGUGUCAUCCCUGUCACAGCGUUAUGUUUGUUGUAGAGCUGCAUGGCGAGACCCAAUCUAAACAAUAAAUAAUAAUAGUAACGUGCGGUUCGGGGAGGGGAGGGGGGAGUGUUGAGGAUGGCCCUGGUGCUGUUUAUAUUUUGAUGCUAAUUCUGCUUUCCCAGGAAGGGCUGACUGGAACCAGGAAUGAGUCUCUUACUCUGGUGACUUCUUGUGAACCAUCCCCAAUGAAUAAAGGAACCAAUCACUGGGCGAGUAGGCGGGACUUCCUGCUUGGAUAGAGGAAGAGAGUAGGCAGGAGUGGGGGAGAGGGGUGCUUUUUGGACGGGGACAGUGAAAGGUCAAGACAUAUAGCUACAAGUGUCUCCCAGUUUAGAUGGUGAAUCCGCCAGGAUUUGCCACUGGAGGAUUUAGACUUAAUAAGGCUUAACAAGAUUAGGAUUCUAGUUGAUGCGCCCAGCGAUUGAGUUACCAUUGAUUCUGAACUAAGUUUGUGUGGUGUUUUCCUUCACGCAGAGGCUCGACUGGGUUUUUUAGAGAAAAGGUACCGCUGCAAAAACGUGGGUUUGCCAAAAGUGCACCACAAAAGGCCGUGAGAGUUUUGAAGUAUGGGACUGGUGUGGCAACGACCCGCCAGUGGGAACUUAGAGAGCUGAGGUGGAGAGAUUUCAGAGCUCUCAGUCAGAGUCUCCACGAGAUGAGAACAGGCCAGCCUGCCUGCUGGUGUCUUGCCCCAGCACGGGGUGGUGCCAUUUUUUAAUAUUUCCUAUCACAAUGGAAGACCUCUAAAUAACCAGCCUGUUACCCAACGCAUUAAUAUUCACAAACAUGGAUGGUAAAAUGGCGUGCAUUUCUGAGCAUUGAUGCCACAUAGGCUGCUGAGUACUGCCGGGUACUGAGCAUCCUCAACUCCAGAUCCUCAUGUGAUCCGGAAGGGGAGGAGCUGCAGAGACUGACCUUUGUGAUAGUGGAACUGAAACAGCUGCCCUCCAACCUCCAUAGUCCUGAAUCCAAAAUCUCUAAAGGGCACCAGGAAGUGGAUGCCACGUUCAUGUCCUCUAAGUGCACAGGGGAGUGGGCGCCACGUUCAUGCCCUCUUAGUGCACAGGGGAGUACGCUGGCUCUGACCCAGAGGGACAGGAAGGGCACUGAAAUGUGGGAGAAUUUUCAGAACAGCCUGUGUAGAAAAAGUUAACUGGCAAAAGUUGCUGGCCACUCUCAGACCAUUGCACAGCAGGACAAAGGGGGUCCAUCUUCCCAUCUCCACACCCAUCCCAAGGGUUGGUACAAAGGUUGAUUUUCCUUCUGUGUAGAAAAAGUUAACUGGCAAAAGUUGCUAGCCACUCUCAGACCAUUGCACAGCAGGACAAAGGGGGUCCAUCUUCCCAUCUCCACACCCAUCCCAAGGGUUGGUACAAAGGUUGAUUUUCCUUCUCUGCAUUCACCCAAAGUUUUAAAACUAGCGGUAGAGAAACACGAUCACCCACAUUACGACUCUGGCCAAGGCUUCAUCAUAUCUUUCCAGUAGUGGGCACUGUGUCAAAGGGGUGCAGGCCCCCCUGAGACUAUUCACCGUGGGCCCUUGAAUUGAGUUUGCUGUCAUCUUCAGUGUACCUAACAAGAAGAGUGUACUUGCCCAGCAUGUGAGGGCCUUGGACCCAAUCCUCAGUUCGCAGAAAAAAUUAAGGGUACGAGGAUGCUGGAGAAACGGCCCAGUCAGUAAAGUGCUUCUGAUGUAAGCCAGAGGGCCGACCUCAGCUCUGACCUCUGGUGUGUGUUUGCAGUCUCAGUGCUGGGAAGGUAGAGUCAGGAGGAUCCCUGAUGCUCACUGAGAGACCCUGACUCAAAAAGUACAGUGGAGACCUGACGUUGACCGUUGGCUUCCACAUGCACCCAUACAUGUGUGCACACAAAAACAAACAUAUACAAAUAUGUCGAAUAAAUAAAUAAAUACAUUUUAAAAGGAGGCUAAGGCCCAGAGAGAUUGCUUCUCCCACAGCUGGAUUCUAACCCAAAUAUCUAGUCCAAAGGCCACACUAUGCCCACCUCUCUGUUACAGUCUGUGGGCUGGCGGGGGGAGGGGGGCACAUGUUUUGAAGGGACACUGAGUAGAGCCCUUCACCCUACCAGAUGUCAUGAACACAUAAACUAUUUUCCCUCCGUGUCUUGUUGUAUAGCUUUUUUUUUUUUUUACACAUUUCUCCUCUGCCCACUUUUAAUAUGCUGGAAUAAGCUAAAAAUACAACAUAUACCAUAUAAAAAUAAUGCUAUUCGCAGGCUUGUCUUUUCGGGCAGAGAAACUUCCCUAUUAGGACAAACCAAAGGAUGCACAUUUUCAGCCGCCAGGGAAAGGACGCUAUAGAAGGCAGCAGACAAAAUUACCACAGCUUGCAGAGCGAGACAGUCAUAGAGCUAUCCCGCUCACAGGCUGAGUGUGAGGGAGGAGGGUGUCAAUGACUGUCACACUGACAAGCAGAAGGGGCCAGCCUGGAUCUGCCUGUGAAACAGAGCAGGACAUCACACCCAGGCCCUCGUGACCCAAGGGCUUCAUAGCCAUAGAGGCUCUGAGCCAAGCGUGCCCUUCCAGUGAGAGGUCAGACAUUUAUGUCGGCCGUGAUUGCCAGCCUAAUGUCGGUAGAGUUAAACUCGUUUAAACCAGUUUGACCGAUGCAGCUCACCAGAGUGCAAGGCUGGCAAGGCUGGCAAAGCUGGAAGCGUUGGCCAGAAAAAAAUGCAAAAUAGAUGAUCUUAAUGCCACAGUGGCCACUGUCUUCCUGCGUUUGCCUCUUGGCUCUUCUGUUCCUCCCUUCUCUUUUCCCUUUCACCAUCCUGCCCUUCUCUUCCCUCCUCCCCCUCUUCUUUCCUUUUCUAACUGUAUUGCGACUCUGCUGUCGGCCAUGGCUGGAGUGUGUCCCCAGAGUUCCCAAGUCCUCAGUGUGGCAAUGCUGUACCUUUUAGGGCUGGGGAGUGUGUCAUGUGAUCAUGUAUUAUGUCACUGAGGGUGUGGGAGAGAUGCUCUUUCAGGGAUGGAUCGUUUGAGAGUGGGUUGUUGUAAAACAGCAAACCCCACCUCAGUCUCCUCUCACAUGCUCCCGGCAGGACGCCAUCCUCCUGUUAUGACACCACGGCCAAGGGGACCCUUUACCAGAGCCACUGCUGUGCUUCUGUGUCUCCAGAACUCCUUUCUUUAUACGCCCAGCCUGGUGUGUUUUGUAAUAGCAACAGAAAACAGGCAAAUGCGGAGUCUACGGUGACAUCUGUUUGGACCUGUUUCAGUAUUAAAACCCUUGAUAAUAAAAACUCCUGACCUUAGAACAGCGUAUGGGCAUCAUACCUGAUCUCAGACGUUCCAAGACAGCAGUGAAGGUUUGUGUCUUAAGGAACAGCACAGGACAGGUGGGUCCCCGGGCCCUGCCACCCACUGGCUGCAUAGGCUUAAGUGUCUCCCAACCAAAUCUGAAUGUUCUGUUUCAUAUAGGAAAACUGGUGCAGGACCUGUCCUAAUGGGAGUGCCAUCUCGUCUAAAGAGAACAGGAAGUGCCCAGGACAGAGCCCUAGACUCCUAACAGACUAACAGCUAUGAAACUGCUUGUUUAAAAAAGCUGUGUGUGUAUGCAUGCAUGUGUUUCUGUAUAUAUGGAUUAUACUUGUGUGUAGGGGUAUGUGUGUGUUCGUGUGAAUGUAUAUUGUACUUGUAUAUACAUGUGUUUGUGUACAUAUGUGUGUACUUGUCAAUGUAUGUGAAUUGUACUUGUGUGGUACAUGUGUGCAUAUGUAGGUAUGCUUUUGAGUAUGUCUGUUGUACUUCUGUGUAUAUGUGUGUGCAGAUACAUGGGAAACAUGUGUGUGUGUGUGCAUGUGUGUAUGUGUACAAGUAUGCACAUGCAUGUAGAGGCCAGAGGACUUCAGACGUCAUCUUUAGGAACACCUUUGUGAUAGGAACAUCCUUUGUGACAGGGUCUCUCUUUGGCCUGGAGCUCGCCUAUUAGGCUAGGCUAGCUGGUCGGUAGCCCUCAGGAUCUACCUGUGACUGCCCUGCUCAGCGCAGGAAUUACCAUCGUGAAUAAUCAUGAACCAUCAUGCCCAGCAUUUCUUCAGGGGUUCCAUGAGCUCAGGGCCCUCUGCUUGUGGGGGAGGCACUUUACUGUCUGUCUCUCCCUCCGACCCGCACCAACCUGAAGUUGCUCACUCCAGAGAUCACAGGCUUGUCUCCACAAAGGCUGUCAGCCACUAACAAUCAAUCCCCUGCCUAGGACACAGAUCCCUUCAUGCUGACGGGACAAGCGCUCAGGUUCAGUGCCCAGGACUUGAAGAGAUGACUCUAGUCCCAGGCCCAGGGGCAAGCCCUCUUUUCUUUGACACCUUGAUUUAAAACAAUAGAAAGGCCACGUUUCUGGGCUCUCUGCCAGCAGGCAAGACAGACUGUUUUCCUGCAGGGCCCUCAAUUCUCAUGGCAGAACACAGAACUUGGGAACAAAACGCAAAGCUAGACGCCAUCUGCUUGGCUUCCGGACAGUGCAAUUAGCUGAGAAGUGCCUUUACAUCUUCGUAGGACUGCAUUAAGUCGGGAUUAAUUAAUUGCCGUGCUAAUGGGAAGCACCUUUAGCGCCGCAAUGACAUAAUCGCAUGCUAUUAGGAGCACAGAAAGGAGCCCUUUAUAAUUAAUGACGUCUUCAUUUCCUGAAACGUGUAAUCCUUGUGUCCUCAAUUCCAAAGAGGUUUGCAGACAGAAGGCACUAAAUAUAGAUCCGGAACUAAUAUUUAAAUCACUUUAAGAUUCACCUUUCCAUAAGAGUAAUGAACCCAGAACAAAAGUUCCCUUGGGUUUCUAGGAUUCUAAACCUUUUCGUCCAUCAGGUUAAGUAGUCGGCAAGCAUGGGUUCAAACAGAAAUGGCCAAUAAUUACCGGCCUGAUAGAUUUAUCCUAAAUAGAACAAGUUUUGCCCUACCAAGCAUACAAACUAAUUUGCAAGACAUAAAUUAAACUCAUUCCAAUUGUCCUUGCUGUGAUUCACCUUAAAAAGUACUCUAGGAGCCGGAGAGGCAGCUUAAUGGUUAAGAGCACCGGCUGCUCCUCCAGAAGAGCCAGUUCAAUUCCCAGCUCCCUCAUGGCAGCUCACAACUGCUGUGAUUCCAGUCUUAGGGGGAAUCCAACGCCCUCUUCUGGCCUCCAUGGGUACUGCAUGCAAGUUAUGUAUAACGCAUGCAAGUAAAACAUCCAUUAUACAUAAAACAAGUAUACUUUUUCUUUAGUUAUAGCACUCUGUGCCUCACUCCCAUGAUGUAAAAAUGAGACUGGCUUUGUUUCUAAUUGGAGGAGUUACUAAUAAGCCAAAUGUCACAGGCCAAGCACAGAUCCAAGUACUUAGCGCGCAGUAGUUCAGUGAAUCCUCAUAGAGAUCCCGACUGUGGAAUUGCUAUGUCUCCCAUUUCACAAACAGAGAUGCUGAAGUGCCCCGUGGUAGUAAUAUUGUGUCCAGGGUUGGAAGUGUAACUCAGUGUUGGAAAACUUGCCUAGCACGUACAAGGCCCCAGGACACAAUCCCCAGCACACAAGUGGUAAAAUACAGCAACCCCCAAACUACUAUUUCCCUGGAAAGGACCUUCUGACCGAACUCCUGACCAGAAAGAACAGACAGACUUUGAAGACUGUAAUUCAUUUUUGUUUGUCUUGUUUUUUGUUUUUUUUUUCAAGCUUUUAGGGUUUCCUCAAUGUAACCCUGGCCAUCCUGGAACUCACUCUGUAGACCAGGCUGGCCUCGAAUUCAGAGAUCCACCUGCCUCUGCCUCCCGAGUGCUGGGAUUAAAGGUGUGCUCCACCAUGCCCAGCUCAGACUGUAAUUCUUAUUGUCCCCAGAGCCAGUUGACAUCUUACCCCUGCUGCCAGCCUGAUGCCAGUAGAUGCCCGGUCUUCAGCAAAUUACAUAUGAAAGCGGGGGAGGGUACAAAAACUGAGCCUCAGGAACAUACCAAGGGUUCCCAUGGGAUGGGAAAACCUCAGCAAUUUGUUUUUAUCUCAACAUUAAAGGGUCUCUACGUGCCGAGAACUUGGAAAUUAGGCACCCACAGAUCCUCCGGUCUCUGCUUGUCUGGCUCUGGGAUACCAAGCAUAUUCCACCACACCAUGCCUUUGCACUGGGCUCCAGAGAUUAACUUCAGAUCCUGUGCCUGUAGGGCAAGCUCUUCACUAACUGAGCUGCCUCCUAGUCUCCGCUUCUGUUUUCUGAUUGGAUGCACAGCCCAGGCUCCUCCUCAGUGAACUAAGAGAGGUGAGCCCUCCCUGCCCCCCCACCACCACCCCCCACUCCCAUGAUGCCAAGGCUUGCUUUACC